UAAUGAUUAUUUAGAACAAUCCUGUCAAACACAACUUUAUAUUAAUGCCAUGAGAUGUAAAUGAAAAGAUCCAUCCCUCUCCAAAACCCGAGGAAUCGUAAUUAAAGAAGAGAAUGGUCAGUGGUGAGCAUAAUUCAAUGUGCAUAUUUUUCCUCUGAACAAAACAGCAUUCCAGCUCUCCCCCUGAUGAGAGGAAUGUAUUGUCAAUUAAUUAGACUCCCAUCAUAUGUCCUCGGAUGCCCUUCCAUCAUAUGCCUUCCAUAUGUCCUUAUGUCAUAUGCCUUCCAUAUGCCCCCUGUGUAAUUAAGCUCCCAUCAUAUGGCUCCCAUCAUGUGCCAUUUAAGUGGAUUUCCAGGAGAACGUGGCACUGUUACAGUUAUGGACCUUUUGCAACGAGGAAAGGAACAACUCAGGAGCUGUAAAUGAGGAGAGGAGGAAGCAAAAAGGAAGGUGGCUUUAAUUGCUGGGUUUGUUUCGCUCAGCUUGAGCAGGGAAGGCACAAAAGUGUCCUGUUUUCCUUGGGUUCCAUUCCCAGAUUUUCUUCAGUUCAGCCCCUGGAUAGCCAGGGAGAUAGCAACUGUUUUUCAGGGAAUGUUUCCACUGGAAUGUAAAAUGCAAAACAAUCCACCUCCCAGAAAAGUGUUUGUCCUGCGAUAGGGAAAUGGAAACUUUGUCCUGAACGUGAAGUGAAGGAGCAGAAACAGCCUGGGUUGGGAAUUCCUGGAGAGGAGAUGGCAAACUCCACUCCCACCCCUGUUCCACCACGGCUGUGGAGGGCACUGAGCCGUGGGGAGGGCUUGGGGAGAUCAAUCAAAUGUGGGGGGGUGGAUUCCAAAUUUACUUUUUAGGGAUAAAGACCAAAAACAGGCACUGAUGCUUCCACAGGUGAUGAAGGAAACUGCAGACACCCAAGGAAUUGUGAAAUCUUGGGGUUCCCAAUGAAAGGACAGCUCCUUUGCCUCAUGUACAGUUGUGUCUCUGUGCUUUUCUCCUUCCCAACAACUUCUGAGACUCUUCUCUGAUCCCUGGCAGAAGAGCAGUGACUUCCUCGGGUGUUGUGCUCCAGCUUUGCAGGAAUUGCAGAAAUCCCAGCCAUGCAUCCUGAAAUCCCAACCACACGCCCAGAAAUCCCAGCCAUGCAUCCUGAAAUCCCAGCCACGCAUCCAGCAGUCAGGAAGGAUGUUGAAAGGACAAAGAGAAGGGGAUCAGAUGAAGGUGACAAAAACAAUCUGGACACUGCAGCUUCUCCCAAGGACUCACAACCCUCCAGGGAUGGGCUUCUCUCUGCUAAUGUUUUUUUGCUCCAUUUCUGCAAGAAUUUCCUGCAAACCAUGUCCCUGAGAGGCUUAGUGGAG